UUCAGGUUCACUAUUUGUUUUGUACUUAAGUAGUUUGUGGACCUCUUUUUAUGUUUGUUUGGCCUUGUGCCCUAGAAGAUGAUGUCUAGUUUUCCCAAAAAAAAAAAAAAAAGUUGGUGUGAAGAACACAUGACUAUUCUACACAUUGGUGAAGCUACAGAGGGACAAGGAGGGGUGGCCGCCCCUCCCCUCGUCAGAAGUGAAGCCCAUGAGCCACGGUCCACCCCUCUGCUCCCGUCAGAAAGCCUACAAGUUGUCAUUCGUGAAGCCCCUUCCUAGUUGGAAAGCACAUUAGGCGAGACUAGGAGGGAGGGAUUAAACAGAGCUAUUUAAAUCUGGGUGGGGCUGGGUGGGGUUAAGUGGGCGUAUACGAAGAAGCCAGAAGUUGAAAGUUCUUUUGCACAGUCAAUCGUGCUCGAGGAAGACAAUGAGAUUGGCUGUAGUCUGCAGCAUUCAAUCAACCAACAACAGCCUUACAGCUACUUUCCAUUCCAUUCCAAGUGAAAAGCCAACAUAAUCGAUUUGAUACUUAUGAGUGGUUGGAGUAAAAUAUAGCAAGAGAUGCUUCAUUUUGCCGUUAUUACUAUAUUUUCAAAUGAAAACGGGAGAUGCUGGCAGUGAUGUCUUCACUGAAAAGGGUUUUUAAUGUAAAUUGUUUGUAUUGAUAAAUUAUGGACGAUAUUACUAUAUAAACAGAUUUGGUUGUUUCCCUUUUUUUGAACUUUGUAUUCUUUUAAAUUUACCCCUCCCCCUACUAAUUUCUAGCUUCGCCACUACAUGCAUGGGAAAGGAACUGCCAGAUCAAAAGCUUCAGACCAGCUUAAUUUUGUUCUUUUUGAACUCACUGUGUAUGUCAACCAUGGUAAUUGUUGGUCUUCGCGAUCAAUUUUUCUAGGUUUUAAUUUUUAAUUAUAAUUUGUACAUA